rnacentral:rRNA from 1 species
AGUAGUUUGAUCCUGGCUCGAAGAACGACGCUGGCGGCAGGCUUAACACGAUGCAAGUCGAACGCCCGGCAAGGGGAGUGGCAGACGGGUGAGUAACGCGUGGGAAUCUACCGUGCCCUGCGGAAUAGCUCCGGGAAACUGGAAUUAAUACCGCAUACGCCCUACGGGGAAAGAUUUAUCGGGGUAUGAUGAGCCGCGUUGGAUUAGCUAGUUGUGGGUAAAGGCCUACCAAGGCGACGAUCCAUAGCUGGUCUGAGAGGAUGAUCAGCCACAUUGAGACUGAGACACGGCCCGAACUCCUACGGGAGGCAGCAGUGGGGAAUAUUGGACAAUGGGCGCAAGCCUGAUCCAGCCAUGCCGCGUGAGUGAUGAAGGCCUUAGGGUUGUAAAGCUCUUUCACCGGAGAAGAUAAUGACGGUAUCCGGAGAAGAAGCCCCGGCUAACUUCGUG